GUCCCCACUUUCACUUUGCCACAAGGGAAAUAUAGUUUCCUUGAUGGUCAUUCAUGUGGGGUAGAAUAUCCAUCCUUUCACAGCUUAGGCAAACAGAACCUGGGUUUGCACUGAGGCCUGUCAAAGGAGACAUGU